CUCGAAGAUGUUGAGGAUCGUUUGUUUCUUAAAAUGGUCACUAUUGUUAGGCUCAUGCAGGUAGCAUAGGUAUAUUUACGCAGUUAACUAUGUAAAUGGUCGAAUAUUUGGGGGGAAAAAAUAUUUCCUGAUGAAUAUAGUGUCCACCAAGAAUUUAGUUAGCUAAUUUAAUAUCACAAGUAUUGAUUAGCGAUAUACUGGUUCAUAAGUCAUAACACAUGCAUAUGUGAUCGUAUGGUCACAAAACAUAUCACUUAUAUGAAAAA